rnacentral:rRNA from 1 species
GAUGAACGCUGGCGGCGUGCUUAACACAUGCAAGUCGAACGGAAAGGCUCCUGCUUGCAGGGGUACUCGAGUGGCGAACGGGUGAGUAACAUGUGGGUGAUCUGCCCUGCACUUCGGGAUAAGCCUGGGAAACUGGGUCUAAUACCGGAUAGGACGAUGGUUUGGAUGCCAUUGUGGAAAGUUUUUUCGGUGUGGGAUGAGCUCGCGGCCUAUCAGCUUGUUGGUGGGGUAAUGGCCUACCAAGGCGUCGACGGGUAGCCGGCCUGAGAGGGUGUACGGCCACAUUGGGACUGAGAUACGGCCCAGACUCCUACGGGAGGCAGCAGUGGGGAAUAUUGCACAAUGGGCGCAAGCCUGAUGCAGCGACGCCGCGUGGGGGAUGACGGCCUUCGGGUUGUAAACUCCUUUCGCUAGGGACGAAGCGCAAGUGACGGUACCUGGAGAAGAAGCACCGGCUAACUACGUG